UGUUUAAGCAGCCAACAGUAACCACUCUGUGACACCGACCAAAUAAAUUUUGGGCUUGUCAUGUGUGGCAAGCGCACAACAAGUCACCGGUAGAGGGAGAUACAACUUUGGGAAUACAGCGCCUUGUACUGAAACAACUGCCGCAGUGUGCCUGCCGAGAGAAAAGGACCAUCUCUGUAUUUGUGCCACUAACUGUACUCGGAGCAAUGCUGGGAGAGGAGAGCAGCAGACUUCAACACGUGGGACAAGGACUGGUGUGGGAGCUGUGAAAGGGACAACUCGUGAUUCCUGUGCUCCGGUGUCUGGCCUGCCCCCUUGGCUGGGAUUAGCAGGAGGUCUUCCCUGCGCUGCUGGAUGGAGCCGGGCCUGGGUGACUUCCAGCAGCAAGCACUGCCAGUCCGUUACGGCGGGAACACCAACGUGUCUGGGAAGGAAGAUGAAGCUGGCACUUACAUGCAGCACUGGGAGAGCGGGGCCAGGAUGGAGGUUUCAUCAUGGGAAUGCCGCCCGAACCUGGGGGAGUAAGGAGAGAGUGCGGAGCUUUAGUGCCUGCCCACCCCCUUCCCUACAUCCCCAUGUCCUCCCACCCUCUGGACCUCACCCUCU